AGUGAGCUCACUGGAAGCAUGAAACAGGAGCUGUCAGAAGAAAUCUCGUCACCAGGCUUUGACAUAAAGAGAGUUAUUGUUCUUGACUUGGGUUUUACAUCCUCUGGUCCUGUUAAACUUGGGUCUGCUGACAGGACUGCAGUGUGCUCAAUGAGUCCCGAGCUCUGCAAGCUUUCCCUUCCCCCUGCCUCGUUGUACUCUGCCACUGCUGCAUUUCUCAGAAGAAAACCCAUCAUUUUGAAACCUAUCCAUGAUGAUGAUAAAGCCGUGUGUCUUCAGGACAUGACUAGGAGCAGCUCCUUUGCCUCUGCAGAGGGACGAAGAGGAAGGACAGCAGCCAGCCAAAUGCAGCAAAGGACCAGAAGCAUCAGGAAUACCACUGGCAGGUCUUUGACUGAGAUUUGAUGUGAGAGCCAGAGACUGAAAGUGAUUCCUGCUUCCCAAGGUCUUCCUGGAUUAACUGUUCAGCAAGGCCCCUGUGAGCACCAUGACCAGCCUGUACCGAUGCCCCGUGGGGCUGUAUUGCACCAGCCAGCCUGGAAAAGAGCUGAUCUUCCUGAAGCUCCAUCCAUCAGCAGGGCUUAUACCUCUGGGGGCCUCCCACGCUGGCCCUGAUCCUCCAGAACCCCAGGGAACUGCUCGCCUGGGGCAGGAAGAGGGUUCAAGAACUGGACAGGGAGUGUUUCUCUUCCUGCCGCAUUAAACACUGUGCCC
ensembl:lncRNA